GUUGGUGACAGGAGCGACAGGGGUACACCCGGACCCAUCUCGAACCCGGCAGUUAAGCCUGUCAGCGCUGAUGGUAGUGUGAGCUACGGCUCAUGUGAGAGUAGGUCGUUGCCAACA
rnacentral:rRNA from 1 species